UUCUUCGGGGUCGGGUGUAAGUCCCAACCGGCGGUAAAGUCCGCGACCUGCCUUAUGUAGGCAGCUGAAUCGGUGACAUGGUGAGAAGCUGUGAAUUCCGAUACCGACAGUAAAGUCUGGAUGAGAGAAGAA
rnacentral:ncRNA from 1 species